rnacentral:rRNA from 1 species
GGCUUAGAGUUUGAUCAUGGCUCAGGAUGAACGCUGGCGGCAUGCCUAAUACAUGCAAGUCGAACGAGGCGGAAGGAAGCUUGCUUUCUGAGGCCUAGUGGCGAACGGGUGAGUAACACGUGGGCAAUCUGCCCGUAUGUCGUGGAUAACGGUUGGAAACGACAGCUAAUACAGGAUGAGCAUCCCGAAGGCAUCUUUGGGAUGGAAAAGGGGCCAAGGCCCCGCAUACGGAUGAGCCUGCGGUGCAUUAGCUGGUUGGUGAGGUAACGGCUCACCAAGGCGAUGAUGCAUAGCCGACCUGAGAGGGUGACCGGCCACAUUGGGACUGAGACACGGCCCAAACUCCUACGGGAGGCAGCAGUAGGGAAUUUUCGUCAAUGGGGGGAACCCUGAACGAGCAAUGCCGCGUGAGCGAAGAAGGUCUUCGGAUCGUAAAGCUCUGUUGUAAGAGAAAAACGAGUGCCAUAGGGAAUGAUGGCGCAGUGAUGGUAUCUUACCAGAAAGCCACGGCUAACUACGUGCCAGCAGCCGCGGUAAUACGUAGGUGGCGAGCGUUAUCCGGAAUCAUUGGGCGUAAAGGGUGCGUAGGUGGCACGAUAAGUCUGUAGUAAAAGGCAGCGGCUCAACCGCUGUUGGCUAUGGAAACUGUCGAGCUGGAGUGCAGAAGAGGGCGAUGGAAUUCCAUGUGUAGCGGUAAAAUGCGUAGAUAUAUGGAGGAACACCAGUGGCGAAGGCGGCCGCCUGGUCUGCAACUGACACUGAAGCACGAAAGCGUGGGGAGCAAAUAGGAUUAGAUACCCUAGUAGUCCACGCCGUAACGAUGGGAACUAAGUGUUGGGGAAACUCAGUGCUGCAGUUAACGCAUAGU